GGCUCAGUGCUGGCAGAGCCUUUCAUCAUUCCGAAAAAGCUAGAAAUCCAUAGCAAGUCUCCUGGGUUUUAAAUGAAUUUAAGAUUCCUAACUGUCACGUAAAAUGCAUAAAGCCUUCCUUGCGAGCUGUCCCAAGACUAAGUCUCGAAUGAUUUACUCUUUAUUAUCUAUCUAUAUAUAUAUAUAUUUUUUUUAUCAAGGAUUGAACUCAGGGACACUUAACUACUGAGUCACACCCCUAGCCCUUUUAACAUUUUAUUUAGAACUCUCACUGAGUUGCUUAGUGACAUCUUAUUGGCCAAACCACUGCUCAUGGUUGAAUUUUGCCUCAAGUUUGCCGGUUUGCCUGAGUAAAUGGUGUGGACUCGGCCGAGGGAAACUAGGGGAAAGCUUGUUCUCUAGUCUGGUGAUGGGCAGGGGGUUGAGGCUGGGAUCUGCCAGCAAAGGGACUUCCUAUGUGGGACGGGUGUACUUUCUCACCCACCCACUUUGAUUCAAACUGAGUUAGCAACACAUUUUAAGGGAUUUUUAAUUUUAAUGCUCUUAUUUUUAACCCUUUGGAAAUUCUGUUAAACACACACACAGACUUGGUUGACACUGUUUUGAAAAAUGGAGAGAUAAGCAAUUAAAGGAAGUCACAGUCUGCUGUCUGAGCCCUCCGUUGGGGUCAGGGUGGUGUAGCUGCACAACUUGGGGGGGUCUAUAGGCCUGGAGAAAAAGAAAGAGGGUAAUAGGUAAGCAAGCCAGUACAGCUGGAGAGUGAGAAUGAGCAGGAAACGGGAGGCAGCAGCUGAGCUGUGGUCUACCUCUGCUGAGGCCCAGUCAAACCCCCAGAGAGGGUGAACAUGACCCUUGAAGUUGGUAGAGGCUCAUAAAUAGGAAGAUCUUCACCAUGUGUUGUGAGAUGGAAGAAUAGGUCAUAAGAAAAGGUUAAGCUCAUCCCUUUUGUAAGAAAUAAGCAAAUAAAAAUUUUUUAAAAAUGGCUGCACUACAGUCCCACCUUAUCUGUGUGUGUGUGUGUGUGUGUUUUUUCUUUCCACAGUUUUUGUUACCCAUAGCCAACCAUAGUCUGAAAAUGCUAACUGGGAAAUUAGAAAAAUAAGCAAUUCAUAGUUUUAAAUUGCCCACCACUCUUAGUAGUGCGAUGAAAUCUUGUAUCACCCCUCUGUACUGCCCAAAAUGCAAAUCAUCCCUUUAUCCAGAGUAUCCACACUGUAUAUGCUACCUCUCUGUUAAUCACUUAGUAGCUAUUUCUAUUAUCAG
rnacentral:lncRNA from 1 species